AAUAAGUGUAGUUUUACAUUAUUCACGUUCAACGUUUGACCAUUCGUCUUAUUUGAAAAAUUUUUAUGAUUCGUAUUUUUAUUGCUAUUAGAUGAUAAAACAUAAAUAAUACUUUAUGUGUAACUAAAUAUUUUUAAUUUUUUCAUAUUUUUUUCAAAUAAGACAGACGGUCAAACGUUGGGUACGGAUAUCCACGGCUACACUUAUU
rfam:Oryza sativa Japonica Group DNA, chromosome 9, cultivar: Nipponbare, complete sequence.